CUCAAAUGUUAAUUCUUCAAAGAGACACAGUUCUGAAGACUAUGAAAAUAUGGAGGACUCAAAUGCUAAUUCUUCAAAGAGACACAGUUCUGAAGACUAUGAAAAUAUGGAGGAAACAAACAUUCACCAACUUUCUGUGACAGAACCUGAUAAUAAAGAAGAUCAAGACAUCUAUCAAAAUAAUGCAAAUGAGUUUUAAGCAUUCAAAUAAAAUAGAUUGAUCAAU